GACGAACGCUGGCGGCGUGCCUAAUACAUGCAAGUCGAACGCAUUUUCUUUCACCGUAGCUUGCUACACCGAAAGAAAAUGAGUGGCGAACGGGUGAGUAACACGUGGGUAACCUGCCCAUCAGCGGGGGAUAACACUUGGAAACAGGUGCUAAUACCGCAUAAUUCCAUUUACCGCAUGGUAGAUGGGUGAAAGGCGCUUUUGCGUCACUGAUGGAUGGACCCGCGGUGCAUUAGCUGGUUGGUGGGGUAACGGCCUACCAAGGCUGCGAUGCAUAGCCGACCUGAGAGGGUGAUCGGCCACACUGGGACUGAGACACGGCCCAGACUCCUACGGGAGGCAGCAGUAGGGAAUCUUCGGCAAUGGACGCAAGUCUGACCGAGCAACGCCGCGUGAGUGAAGAAGGGUGUCGGAUCGUAAAACUCUGUUGUUAGAGAAGAACAAGGAUGAGAGUGGAAAGUUCAUCCCUUGACGGUAUCUAACCAGAAAGCCACGGCUAACUACGUG
rnacentral:rRNA from 1 species